UAGGGUGACCAGCUGUCUCGGUUUGCCUGGGACUGAGAGGUUUCCCAUUCCCUGGGACUUUCAAUACUCAAACCAGGACAGUCCCAGGCAAAAUAGGACAACUUAUCUUCUUCUUCUUCU
rnacentral:miRNA from 1 species